GAUGAACGCUAGCUACAGGCUUAACACAUGCAAGUCGCGGGGCAGCAUGACAUCAGCUUGCUGAUGUUGAUGGCGACCGGCGCACGGGUGAGUAACGCGUAUCCAACCUGCCCUUUACUAUGGGACAGCCCGUCGAAAGGCGGAUUAAUACCGUAUGUUGUCAUGUUGAUGCAUAUUUUCAUGAGCAAAGGCUUCGGCCGGUAAAGGAUGGGGAUGCGUCUGAUUAGCUUGCCGGCGGGGUAACGGCCCACCGGGGCGACGAUCAGUAGGGGUUCUGAGAGGAAGGUCCCCCACAUUGGAACUGAGACACGGUCCAA
rnacentral:rRNA from 1 species